rnacentral:misc_RNA from 1 species
UACGGAGGGUGCAAGCGUUAAUCGGAAUUACUGGGCGUAAAGCGUGCGUAGGUGGUUUGUUAAGUCAGAUGUGAAAGCCCUGGGCUCAACCUGGGAACUGCAUUUGAUACUGGCAGGCUAGAGUGCGGUAGAGGGUAGCGGAAUUCCCGGUGUAGCAGUGAAAUGCGUGGAUAUCGGGAGGAACAUUCGUGGCGAAGGCGGCUACCUGGACCAGCACUGACACUGAGGCACGAAAGCGUGGGUAGCAAACAGG